CACGUAGGGCGCGAGCGUUGUCCGGAAUUAUUGGGCGUAAAGAGCUCGUAGGCGGCCUGUUGCGUCCGCUGUGAAAGCCCGGGGCUUAACCCCGGGUCGGCAGUGGAUACGGGCAGGCUAGAGUCCGGAAGAGGAGAGUGGAAUUCCUGGUGUAGCGGUGAAAUGCGUAGAGAUCUGGAAGAACACCGAAGGCGAAGGCAGCGUUCUGGGAAGCAACUGACGCUCAUGUGCGAAAGCCAGGGGAGCGAACGGG
rnacentral:rRNA from 1 species